rnacentral:rRNA from 1 species
GCAGCCGCGGUAAUACGGAGGGGGCAAGCGUUAUUCGGAAUUACUGGGCGUAAAGGGCGCGUAGGCGGCGCAUUAAGUGAGAAGUGAAAGCCCACGGCUUAACCGUGGAAUUGCUUCUCAUACUGGUGUGCUAGAGUAUGGGAGAGGAAAGUGGAAUUCCCGGUGUAGCGGUGAAAUGCGUAGAGAUCGGGAGGAACACCAGUGGCGAAGGCGACUUUCUGGACCAUUACUGACGCUGAUGCGCGAAAGCGUGGGUAGCAAACAGGAUUAGAUACCCUGGCAGUCCACGCCGUAAACGAUG